GGAAUAGAAGGCCGGAAAGCCGCAUAAACACGUGCCCUCUCAGUUGGCGUUUGGAAUAUCCGACCAGCCCUAACCCCGCGCCAGUGCUCACUUUUCCGUCCGGCCUGUCACGCCGGGGGUCGCGGGUUCGAGUCCCGUCCACUCCGCCA
rnacentral:tRNA from 1 species